rnacentral:lncRNA from 1 species
GAUGGGGAACCGCAUCGAGACGACGACGGAAGCACUUUGGAAAAGAAGUUAGUGUAGUCGGGAGUGGUGCCAUUCCUGGGAUUCAGCUGGAAAAGUGGUGCACACCGAAUUUGUUUUCUCGAUGAUCGAGCACUGUUGUCCACCGACUGAACUGGAGGUUUGGGGGACACAGCUGGGUGAGGCUGAUGGAUUCUUUUUUACUAUAUUAUUGGUAGGCAGCUACAGGUCUUUCGCUAAAACUCCUUCACUUUUACCGAUGCGCGACUGUAGUCUUCGGCGUCACUGCUACUGUCGGACUCUACGAGCCACCUACUUCGACUAUUAUAACACUGUUAUCCUUAUAAACCACAUAAGCAGAACCUUUAACAGAAUACGUUGUCCCCUCA